rnacentral:rRNA from 1 species
UUAAGUCCCGCAACGAGCGCAACCCCUGCAUUCAGUUGCCAUCGGGUAAUGCCGGGCACUCUGGAAGGACUGCCAUCGACAAGAUGGAGGAAGGUGGGGAUGACGUCAAGUCAUCAUGGCCCUUAUGUCCAGGGCGACACACGUGCUACAAUGGCCGGCACAACGGGAAGCGAGUUCGCGAGGACGAGCGGAUCCCUUAAAGCCGGUCGCAGUUCGGAUUGAAGUCUGCAACUCGACUUCAUGAAGCUGGAAUCGCUAGUAAUCGUGGAUCAGCCAAGCCGCGGUGAAUACGUUCCCGGGCCCU